GACGAACGCUGGCGGCGUGCUUAACACAUGCAAGUCGAACGGAAAGGCCAUGCUUUUGAGGGGUGCUCGAGGGGCGAACGGGUGUGUAACACGUGAGUAACCUGCCCUUGCCUUUGGAAUAACUGCAGGUACCUGCGACUACUGCCGGAUAGGCGCUGCUGCUGCAUGGGGGGGGUUGGAAAGGUUGGUCGGGUGGGGAUGGAAUGGCGGGUUAUCAGCUUGUGGGUGGGGUAGUGUCUUACCAAGGCAUUGACGGGUAGCCGGCAUGAGAGGGUGACCGGCCACAUUAGGACUGAGAUACGGCCCAGACUCCUACGGGAGGCAGCAGUGGAGAAUAUUGCACAAUGGGCGCAAGCCUGAUGCAGAAACGCCGCGUGGGGGAUGACGGCCUUCGGGUUGUAAACCUCUUUCGCCUGAGACGAAGCGGAUGUGACGGUAAUGGGUAAAGAAGCACCGGCUAACUACGUG
rnacentral:rRNA from 1 species